rnacentral:snoRNA from 1 species
ACCCAUUACAUGAUGAAAUAUUCGGGCGUAAACACAAAUCUGUUCCAAGAGCGCAAAACCAUGUGGAUAUUUCCGUUGCCUUCCUUCUAUACU